rnacentral:lncRNA from 1 species
UUUACAAUAAGAUAAUACUGAAUCUAUCUUUAAUCUGAAUCUUUGCUCAAUAAGAACAUAUGAGAGUUGCAAAAAAAAAAUGUUAAAAAAGAUGGAAGACCUAAAUCCACCUUGAAGCAUAAACAGUGGUGUUACUUUAAGAAAAGCACGUGGCAGCCCUAAUAACGUCUGUAAUAGUAUAGAAAAGCACCUCCACGUCUCAUUCUUUUAGACAAUAUGGUCCAGUGGGAAAAGUUUUGGCUCUAAAGAAUACUAUUCUCUAGCUUCGUGAUAUGUUCAUUCCACUGUUCUUGAUCUCAAUCGGAGGUUCUGCAUAAUGGAAUUCAUAAUUUUGUUCUAUCAAACCUGCAAAACAGUACCAGCACCUAUAGAUAGCAUGUUGUAGAAAAUGGCAAGAAUAUGUAUAAAAAUGGAAAUGGAUCCUAACCAUCUCACCUUACUUGCUCCUAGAGAAGUCCAACAGGUGAUGGUCUUGUUUUCCCAAGCUGCUACAGAGCUUCUGCAGCUCCAAGCAUGACCACUAUAUUUGGCUGCUUAAAAGCAUAACAAGGGCAGAAAUCAUAAAGGCUUUGCCCAGAGGGCCUUGAUUGUCCUUGCCUUCUUGUCCUUUGGUGAGAACUUCAUUGGUGGUGGCUCCAAAAAUCAGGAGACUUUCUGUGAUGAAUUCACCAUAAGAACGUGGGACCCAGCCUCCCUUGAAGGACGUCCUAUAUGAUGCCUGUUUCCAAGGGAAGAAGUAAAGUCAAGAAACAAGAUAUCCUCAAGCUACUCUUAGGAUCAGUGUCUGCAUAGAUCUGGCACACAGAAAUGCAAGGAAACAAUUUGUGCAAAGCAUUAAAAAAAAAAGGGGGGACCCUGAGAGUAUAACAAGUGCUCCUGAGAGAGGACAGACGGAGAGGACGCAUGGGCAGGGAUGGCCGCCCUGAGCAGCUGAUGUUCGAGCUAAGAUCUGAAAGGUGCAUGAUUUCCCACUUACCUCCCGCAACCACUACCACCCACGUUGUCCACAGUAUUCAGCUGUCUCAGGGAGGAUCACAAUUAUUCUAAUGGGACUGCAAAGAGUGAAGGACACAGCUUUUAACAUCAGAUUCGAAUCCUACAAUUUGGAACCCAUGGGCACUUCUAGAUUGGAUCUUGCAGAGAUUUUUUACAACAGAAAUAAUGGAAAGGCAAAAGAAAACAUUGAGUAAUAACCAACCCAAGCAAGUCCAGCCUCUUUCUGCAGAAGAUCUCCGUGGGUCUUUUUAUCCUUAAGAAGUUUUGGAGGCAAGGAAGAGCAGAAAUCACUCUCCGCAUUGGAUAGAUGAAGAAAGGAGCCUCAGAGAAGAGAUUCAGAGGUUCUCCUAAGGCCACUAACUAAUAAAUGAUGACAUGAGAGUAAACUGAAGACUUGCAGUGCCAGGGUUGGUGUGGUCCUCCCUGAUGGGGGCCUUGACCUGUGAGGCCAAGGACAACAAAGGAACAGCUGUCUCCUUGCCAUGGAAGUGGCCCAGUAACCAGAAGGACUCAACUGUCAGGGCUGCAAGAACUUCCCAAGGACCCAGCUCUCUGCUGGAGCUGCAAUCAAGAAAUUGAAACACCUGUGGAGCCCCACCUCGCUGAAGAACCAGCACACCUGUCGACCACUGUCUUUCCACCUGCAGAUCCAGGAAGAAAACCAAAGCAAGGAGUAGGGAGAGGCUGUCCUCGGAGAGGCUGUUCUAGGACUGUGCUGCUCCCCUGGGUGCGCAGCCCCUGUGUCUUCCUCCUUGCGUUACCACUUUCCCUGCCCAUGAACUGAAGGCUCUCUCCUCCCUCUCCCUCUCUGCAUCUUAAAGCUGAGCCCACUAACAUAAAGCCUGGACAACUUGAUCUGCAGUGAAAUCUUGAAGACAAAGUCUGGCCUCCUCAUUAGAAUCCACAUGUUAUUGAGCCUUACCCACUGGUGCUGGCCCUGGCACAGAGAAGGCAACUUAAUACGUUAAUACAACUUAAUAAACUUGUAGAAUGAAUGAAUAUUGUCUGGAAGACACACCAAGUCAAGGGUCGUUUGACAUCUAAUGUUCAAAAACUAUUUUGUGCACCUACCAUUUAGUGGGUACUAUCCUAUUUAUUUAGGACAUGCUGGUGAAGCAAACGGAUUCAUUCUCUGCCCUUGAUAUAUUUUAGCAGGGAAUACAAACAAGUAGUUGCCAUGCAUGUGAUGGUAUGAGAUCCAACAGAUGAAAAGCUCUUACCACCUCCAGGCUCUGUGUUGCACAGAAGCACAGCCUACACUAGAGUCUUCAGUUCCAGCUGACUUUGCAAUCUGGACUUUCCAACGUCUAGUGUGAGCUAAGAUUUGGCUGCCUUUCCCCACUUCCUGCCCCAUGUAGCAGGCCUCUUUUGGCCCUGGGUAUGGAGUAUUCCUA